rnacentral:rRNA from 1 species
CCUACGGGGCGCUGCAGUGGGGAAUAUUGCACAAUGGGGGGAACCCUGAUGCAGCGACGCCGCGUGGGUGAAGGAGUAUUUCGGUAUGUAAAGCCCUAUCAGCAGGGAAGAACAAUGACGGUACCUGACUAAGAAGCACCGGCUAAAUACGUGCCAGCAGCCGCGGUAAUACGUAUGGUGCAAGCGUUAUCCGGAUUUACUGGGUGUAAAGGGAGCGUAGACGGCAGUGCAAGUCUGGAGUGAAAGGCGGGGGCUCAACCCCCGGACUGCUCUGGAAACUGUACGGCUGGAGUGCAGGAGAGGUAAGUGGAAUUCCUAGUGUAGCGGUGAAAUGUGUAGAUAUUAGGAGGAACACCAGUGGCGAAGGCGGCUUACUGGACUGUAACUGACGUUGAGGCUCGAAAGCGUGGGGAGCAAACAGGAUUAGAUACCCUGGUAGUC